UACAGAGGUCUCAAGCGUUGUUCGGAUUCAUUGGGCGUAAAGGGUGCGUAGGCGGCGGGGCAAGUCGGAUGUGAAAUCUCAGGGCUCAACCCCGAAACUGCAUUCGAUACUGCCUUGCUCGAGGACUGGAGAGGAGAUUGGAAUUCACGGUGUAGCAGUGAAAUGCGUAGAUAUCGUGAGGAAGACCAGUGGCGAAGGCGGAUCUCUGGACAGUUCCUGACGCUGAGGCACGAAGGCCAGGGGAGCAAACGGG
rnacentral:rRNA from 1 species